rnacentral:rRNA from 1 species
ACCCCACUGCUAUCGGGAUAGGACUAAGACAUGCUAGUCGCGUGCUUCAGCCAAAACGAGGCACGGCAAACAGCUCAGUAACACGUGGCUAAUCUGCCCUUAGGACAAGAAUACCCCCGGGAAACUGGGGCUAAUUCUCGAUAGGUGAAGAACUCUGGAAUGAGUCUUUGCCUAAAAGAGCUUACGUUAUGCUCGUAAGUUUCGCCUAAGGAUGAGGCCGCGACCGAUCAGGUUGUUGGUGAGGUAAUGGCUCACCAAGCCUUUUACCGGUGCGGGCCGUGAGAGCGGGAGCCCGGAGAUGGGCACUGAGACAAGGGCCCAGGCCCUACGGGGCGCAGCAGUCGCGAAAACUUUGCAAUACACGAAAGUGUGACAGGGCUAUCCCGAGUGCCAUCCGCUGAGGAAGGCUUUUACCCAGUCUAGAACGCUGGGGGAAUAAGGAGAGGGCAAGUCUGGUGUCAGCCGCCGCGGUAAUACCAGCUCUCCGAGUGGUGUGGAUGUUUAUUGGGCCUAAAGCAUCCGUAGCUGGCUAAGUAAGUCCUUUGUUAAAUCCACCGAAUUAAUCGUUGGAUCGCGGGGGAUACUGCUUGGCUAGGGGACGAGAGAGGCAGACGGUAUUUUUGGGGUAGGGGUGAAAUCCUAUAAUCCCGGGAAGACCACCAGUGGCGAAGGCUGUCGGCUAGAGCGAGCCCGACGGUGAGGGAUGAAAGCUGGGGGAGCGAACCGGAUUAGAUACCCGGGUAGUCCCAGCUGUAAACGAUGCAGGCUAGGUGUUUGGACGGCCACGUGCCGUUCUAGUGCCGCAGGGAAGCUGUUAAGCCUGCCGCCUGGGGAGUACGAUCGCAAGGUUGAAACUUAAAGGAAU